rnacentral:rRNA from 1 species
CGGAAUUACUGGGCGUAAAGCGCACGCAGGCGGUUUGUUAAGUCAGAUGUGAAAUCCCCGGGCUCAACCUGGGAACUGCAUUUGAAACUGGCAAGCUAGAGUCUCGUAGAGGGGGGUAGAAUUCCAGGUGUAGCGGUGAAAUGCGUAGAGAUCUGGAGGAAUACCGGUGGCGAAGGCGGCCCCCUGGACGAAGACUGACGCUCAGGUGCGAAAGCGUGGGGAGCAAACAGGACUUGAUACCCUGGUAGUCCACGCUGUAAACGAUGUCGAUUUGGAGGUUGUGCCCUUGAGGCGUGGCUUCCGGAGCUAACGCGUUAAAUCGACCGCCUGGGGAGUACGGCCGCAAGGUUAAAACUCAAAUGAAUUGACGGGGGCCCGCACAAGCGGUGGAGCAUGUGGUUUAAUUCGAUGCAACGCGAAGAACCUUACCUACUCUUGACAUCCAGAGAACUUUCCAGAGAUGGAUUGGUGCCUUCGGGAACUCUGAGACAGGUGCUGCAUGGCUGUCGUCAGCUCGUGUGGUGAAAUGUUGGGUUAAGUCCCGCAACGAGCGCAACCCUUAUCCUUUGUUGCCAGCGGUUCGGCCGGGAACUCAAAGGAGAUCUGCCAGUGAUAACUGGAGGAAGGUGGGGAUGACGUCAAGUCAUCAUGGCCCUUACGAGUAGGGCUACACACGUGCUACAAUGGCAUAUACAAAGAGAAGCGACCUCGCGAGAGCAAGCGGACCUCAUAAAGUAUGUCGUAGUCCGGAUUGGAGUCUGCAACUCGACUCCAUGAAGUCGGAAUCGCUAGUAAUCGUAGAUCAGAAU